rnacentral:rRNA from 1 species
AUGGAGAGUUUGAUCCUGGCUCAGGACGAACGCUGGCGGCGGGCUUAACACAUGCAAGUCGAAGGAGAAGGAAGGAGCUUGCUCUUUCUGGAGACUGGCGGACGGGUGAGUAACGCGUAGCCAACCUGCCUUUAGCUGGGGGAUAACAUUCCGAAAGGGGUGCUAAUACCGCAUAAUGCAGCGGGGCCGCAUGGCCACAGUUGUUAAAGGUUUCGACCGGCUAAAGAGGGGGCUGCGUGCUAUUAGUUAGUUGGUGAGGUAACGGCUCACCAAGGCGAUGAUAGCUAGGGGGUCUGAGAGGAUGAUCCCCCACACUGGGACUGAGACACGGACCAGACUCCUACGGGAGGCAGCAGUGAGGAAUCUUGCGCAAUGGGCGAAAGCCUGACGCAGCCACGCCGCGUGCCGGAAGACGGCCCUAUGGGUUGUAAACGGCUUUUGCCAGGGAAGAAAGCCCGGGGUUCGCCCUGGAUUGACGGUACCUGGUGAAUAAGCACCGGCUAACUCCGUGCCAGCAGCCGCGGUAAUACGGAGG